rnacentral:miRNA from 1 species
UAAGGUGACCAAUUUGUCCAAGUCUGCCUGGGACUGUCCUGGUUUUCGGAAGUCCAGCUCCCCAGGACUCUGCUCCCCUUAGUCCCAGACACACUAGGACAGUUGGUGACCCUGGCUUGUU